rnacentral:sRNA from 12 species
AAACAUCUGCAGUGGGAUUUCGUAUAUUACGUGUUAUAGUCUGGCAGGUGGCUGUAAUAUAUAUGAUCUUGUCGUAAUCGAUAAAUCGAUUCUCAAUUUGUUCU